UACGAAGGGGGCUAGCGUUGCUCGGAAUCACUGGGCGUAAAGAGUGCGUAGGCGGGUCUUUAAGUCAGGGGUGAAAUCCUGGAGCUCAACUCCAGAACUGCCUUUGAUACUGAAGAUCUUGAGUUCGGGAGAGGUGAGUGGAACUGCGAGUGUAGAGGUGAAAUUCGUAGAUAUUCGCAAGAACACCAGUGGCGAAGGCGGGUCUCUGGGCCGAUACUGACGCUGAGGAGCGAAAGCGUGGGGAGCGAACAGG
rnacentral:rRNA from 1 species